UUCCAUCGCUUCUCCUCCGGAGAAAAGAGAAAAAUGAAACCCUGGAUUAGUUUCAGUCUCAUCUCUUAUGGUAGGAUUUGAUUUGGAGAGUUUAAUUUCAAUCUCAGAAAUCUUCAUCUUAAUAAACAAAAUCUCAUCUCGCUUUCUUAGCCGAUUCUCACCAACUCAGAUCUGAUUAUUUCUUCAUCUCAGUCUUCUUAAUCUGAUUAUACUUUAACUAAACAAUCAGAUUUGUUUGGGAAGAUUUACUCACUGAACGAAUUUCUCUCACUUCAGAAGCGAAUCACAAAUUCGAUGCAUUAGAAGCCAGGAUUUCGACGAUUGAAUCCUUGUGUUGAGAUUGGCAAAGUUUAGUCGAUUUAUUAUCUUCUGAUUCUCGUGCUACUACCUGGAGUCAACUGAAUCAACUAAACUCGCAGCUGAACUUUAUUAGCUGAUGGAACUUUUGUGACCAAGACGAUGUUGUGGAAGGAUCAGCUGCGUGGCUUCGUAAAAGUCUCUCUUCCAUUUGUGCCCAUAUAAGAGAUAGUGAUGAUCGCCCGUCAUGUGGAUUAACCACAGACCAGGAUCUUCUCCGAAAGCAAGAAGGUGAUCGAGCGAUGUGGGAGUACCCAUUUGCAGUAGCUAUCGAUGUUGUUUAUAAUUGUUAAGCAGAUAAUGGAACAGAGCACCGUGCCAUUACUAAGGAAAUCCCUCAGGGAUGUUGCAAUAGAGAGAUGCUGCAACUGUUGCAAGGUGUAGGAGGAUCUCUCAACCCAGUUACGGUUGGCCAAGAAACGUCGAAAAGAGGCAGAAAAGGAACAAUACAGAACUGAGGAGCAAGAGUCACUACUGAAUCUACAAGAACAGCAGAGGCUCAAGCGCAGAGCUCUACACUUAAGGUUGAAAAGCAAGUGUUGGAUGAGAAACUAGAAGCUUUAACCAGAAAUGCAUCAGGGGAAGUAUGAGGCACCUAUUACAUUUAUCUGAUGGAGAGAGGGUGGUUAUGACAGCGUCGAUGCUGGAAGAUAAGUUACAGUACCAAUCUGGUCAAGCUAAGGGUUCAAACUCAUGAAGGUAUCAUAUCUGCGCCUAUGAGAUUGAUCUGACAAUGUUUCUCCCUGAGCCUGGUACUGUUUUUGGUGGUUCCAGGCAGAGCAUGGUCGUGAGAGUCAGGUCAGGCUUGUCAUGUCUAGAGAUGGUGUAGAUGUGGAGGCCAUGAAGAAAGAAAUCAGCUCGCAGUGUAAGAGUCUUCUUAAGAAGAUUUUUUCUUCGAAUGCACUUUCCCAUAGUUUCACUGAGUUAGCAACAAAUAAUACUAGUGCUUCCACUGUUGUUUUGGUAUUCUAAUACUCACUUUAGCCUUUUUCUGUUUUAUUUUUCGUUCUUGAUGUCUUUAGUCUUCUUGGAUGUUGUUUGGACAAAGAAUUUGUAUGAGAUUGAACUUUUACAAUAUGUGUCUUCAAAGUGUUUUUAGUUCUUCGUGUUA